CGUGCUUUAACACAUGCAAGUCGUACGAGAACUCUUCUGCUUGCAGAAGAUAGUAAAGUGGCGCACGGGUGAGUAACGCGUGGGUAAUCUACCUCUGAAUCGGGGAUAACCCGCCGAAAGGCGAGCUAAUACCGGAUAAUAUCUUUAAAACUUGGUUUUUUAAGAUAAAAGGUGGUCUCUACAUGUAAGCUACUGUUUGGAGAUGAGCCCGCGUACCAUUAGCUUGUUGGUAGGGUAAUGGCCUACCAAGGCCGCGAUGGUUAGCUGGUCUGAGAGGAUGAUCAGCCACACUGGAACUGACACACGGUCCAGACUCCUACGGGAGGCAGCAGUGAGGAAUUUUGCGCAAUGGGGGAAACCCUGACGCAGCAACGCCGCGUGAGUGAUGAAGGCUUUCGGGUCGUAAAGCUCUGUCAAGUGGGAAGAACCUGCUCGAUGCUAAUACCAUCUAGCACUGACGGUACCACUAAAGGAAGCACCGGCUAACUCCGUG
rnacentral:rRNA from 1 species